GUCUAUUACUAAUAUGAGGCAGGCAUUACCUGUAAAUGGGGACGAAGUCUGUAUGAAUUAUUUUUUUGUAACUUAAAUAUUUGUUUAAAAAAAAAUAAAACGGAAAUACCGUAACGUUUCCGAUUUUGGUUCUGUUGUUAGGGAUUUAGUUGUGACGUUAUUUAAAUUAUGACGUCAUAUGCAAUGUAAACAAAGAAACGCUAUCAUCAGGUAACGUUUUUUCAUAUCAAGGAAUUAUUAAAAAUGAAAUUGGUAUUGCGCGUUCCUUCCUAUUUUAUACUACACUGAUAAAUAUAUAUUUUACUCAAAGUUUCAUACAAACGAGACCGGAAAAAGGAAGUACAUUGUACAUUUCUGCGCAGGUCCGGGAUUUCAAAACACGACAAAAAAAAUUUGAACGAUUUUGAGUUCAUUAGUAUACAAUGAAAAAUUCGGGAAAUUUUCCCGUAUUUUUUUUUUUUUAUUGAAUUUUCUACUGUUAUUGGGGACUCCGUCCCCAUAUUACUUUA
rnacentral:lncRNA from 1 species